rnacentral:rRNA from 1 species
GACGAACGCUGGCGGCGUGCUUAACACAUGCAAGUCGAACGGAAAGGCCCUGCUUUUGUGGGGUGCUCGAGUGGCGAACGGGUGAGUAACACGUGAGUAACCUGCCCUUGACUUUGGGAUAACUUCAGGAAACUGGGGCUAAUACCGGAUAGGAGCUCCUGCUGCAUGGUGGGGGUUGGAAAGUUUCGGCGGUUGGGGAUGGACUCGCGGCUUAUCAGCUUGUUGGUGGGGUAGUGGCUUACCAAGGCUUUGACGGGUAGCCGGCCGGAGAGGGUGACCGGCCACAUUGGGACUGAGAUACGGCCCAGACUCCUACGGGAGGCAGCAGUGGGGAAUAUUGCACAAUGGGCGGAAGCCUGAUGCAGCAACGCCGCGUGCGGGACGACGGCCUUCGGGUUGUAAACCGCUUUCGCCUGUGACGAAGCGUGAGUGACGGUAAUGGGUAAAGAAGCACCGGCUAACUGCGUG